rnacentral:rRNA from 1 species
UAGAGUUUGAUCCUGGCUCAGGACGAACGCUGGCGGCGUGCUUAACACAUGCAAGUCGUGCGUGAAGCCGGACUUCGGUCUGGUGGAAAGCGGCGAACGGGUGAGUAACGCGUAGACAACCUGCCCUUGAGAGGGGGAUAGCCCCGGGAAACUGGGAUUAAUACCGCAUAACAUUUGUAAGACAGCUGUUUUACGAAUCAAAGGUUUCGAUCGCUCAGGGAUGGGUCUGCGUAGCAUUAGUUAGUUGGUAGGGUAACGGCCUACCAAGGCGACGAUGCUUAGCUGGUCUGAGAGGAUGAUCAGCCACACUGGGACUGAGAUACGGCCCAGACUCCUACGGGAGGCAGCAGUGAGGAAUAUUGCGCAAUGGAGGAAACUCUGACGCAGCAACGCCGCGUGAGUGAAGACGGCCCGAUGGGUUGUAAAGCUCUGUAAGUGGGGAAGAGAAGUGUGCUAUAUGCACAUUAGACGGUACCCGCAAAGUAAGCUCCGGCUAACUCUGUGCCAGCAGCCGCGGUAAUACAGGGGGAGCGAGCGUUGUCCGGAUUUAUUGGGCGUAAAGGGCAUGUAGGCGGGACAGUAAGUCAGUGGUGUAAUGUAACGGCUCAACCGUUGACCUGCCAUUGAAACUACUGUUCUUGAGUUCAGGAGAGGGAAACGGAAUUCCAGGUGUAGCGGUGGAAUGCAAAGAUAUUUGGAAGAACACCGAAUGCGAAGGCAGUUUCCUGGCCAUGGACUGACGCUGAUGUGCGAAAGCGUGGGUAGCAAACAGGAUUAGAUACCCUGGUAGUCCACGCUGUAAACGAUGGAUACUGGGUGUUGGACGAAGUAAGACCCGUUCAGUGCCGUAGCAAAUGCGUUAAGUAUCCCGCCUGGGGAGUACGAUCGCAAGGUUGAAACUCAAAGGAAUUGACGGGGGCCCGCACAAGCGGUGGAGCAUGUGGUUUAAUUCGAUGCAACGCGAAGAACCUUACCUGGGCUUGUGGCAUACGACGUAAUUGAGAGAUCAAUUAUUCCGACUUCGGUUGGCGUAUGUCUCAGGUGCUGCAUGGCUGUCGUCAGCUCGUGUCGUGAGAUGUUGGGUUAAGUCCCGCAACGAGCGCAACCCUUGUCCUUAUUUGCCAUCAGGUUAUGCUGGGAACUAUAAGGAGACUGCCGCGGUUAACGCGGAGGAAGGUGGGGAUGACGUCAAGUCAUCAUGGCCCUUACGUCCAGGGCUACACACGUGCUACAAUGGGCGGUACAAAGGGUUGCGAGACUGUGAAGUCAAGCGAAUCCCAAAAAACCGUUCCCAGUUCGGAUUGUAGUCUGCAACUCGACUACAUGAAGGUGGAAUCGCUAGUAAUCGCUGAUCAGCAGGUAGCGGUGAAUACGUUCCCGGGCCUUGUACACACCGCCCGUCACACCAUGGAAGUUGGCAGCACUCGAAGUCGCUGUGGUAACCCUCGGGAACCAGGCGCCGAAGGUGAGGUCGAUGACUAGGGUGAAGUCGUAACAAGGUAACCA